rnacentral:rRNA from 1 species
GUCAUGGCUCAGGACGAACGCUGGCGGCGUGCUUAACACAUGCAAGUCGAACGAGAAUCUAAUGACGGAGUUUUCGGACAACUGAUUUAGAGGACAGUGGCGGACUGGUGAGUAACGCGUGAGGAACCUGCCUUUCAGAGGGGGACAACAGUUGGAAACGACUGCUAAUACCGCAUGAUGUGUAACUGGGACAUCCCGGAUACACCAAAGAUUUAUCGCUGAAAGAUGGCCUCGCGU